AUUGAACGUUGGCGGCAGGCUUAACACAUGCAAGUCGAGCGGGGUGAUGGUGCUUGCACUAUCACUUAGCGGCGGACGGGUGAGUAAUGCUUAGGAAUCUGCCUAUUAGUGGGGGACAACAUCUCGAAAGGGAUGCUAAUACCGCAUACGUCCUACGGGAGAAAGCAGGGGAUCACUUGUGACCUUGCGCUAAUAGAUGAGCCUAAGUCGGAUUAGCUAGUUGGUGGGGUAAAGGCCUACCAAGGCGACGAUCUGUAGCGGGUCUGAGAGGAUGAUCCGCCACACUGGGACGGAGACACGGCCCAGACUCCUACGGGAGGCAGCAGUGGGGAAUAUUGGACAAUGGGGGGAACCCUGAUCCAGCCAUGCCGCGUGUGCGAAGAAGGCCUUAUGGUUGUAAAGCACUUUAAGCGAGGAGGAGGCUCUUUUGGUUAAUACCCAAGAUGAGUGGACGUUACUCGCAGAAUAAGCACCGGCUAACUCUGUGCCAGCAGCCGCUGUAA
rnacentral:rRNA from 1 species